AAAUUACUCAGUCCACCACAUUUUUAUUAGCGAGUUUAUAAAGAAAACAACGAAUAUUUGUUAACUUGCUAAAGCUGGAAAAUAACGAAAAGAGAGUCCUCUCAUGUUAAGAACCAUCCGCGACUCGGGAGGAUAUGGGACUUAAAUAAUUCAUUUAACCCAAAACGUACUUAUUCUAACCACUAAAAAUAAUAAAAUAAUACAAAUAAAAAUGAGAAAAAUGUUAAUUAUUUAAUUUUUUUAUAUUUUAUUCAUAGCUCAGACAAAAAUCAUUAUUGGCUCUCGUCUGGGGGGGCAAUGCCCCCUAGCCCCCUAAACUCCGCCUAUGUAAAAGCAGUGUAUGAAUUAACGAACCAAGAAAGAAUAAUGUGAGUCAAAGUUUUAUAUGUAGUAAGAAGAGAGAAAAUGAAUUAGAGGUUACAGAAAAUGCUUUAAUGUAUGACUUUUAAUGCUCAUGAUUUGACCUUCCAUUUUCAGAGUGAUAGAUGAAUCACAAGUAAUUACUGCAUUGAUUUUUACCAUCUGUACGGUGUACAUUUUAAGACAUCCUCAGACCUCAGUCAUUAAAUGAAAAGGCGUCAUGCCUCAGACUAAAAGGCUUCAGUCAUUGGACAAAACGGCAUCACGCCUCAGACUGAAAAGCUUAAGGUCUCAGGAAAAACAACGUCAGGUGUCAGGUCUCAUACAAUUAGGCAUCAGACGAAACGGACUCAGACAAAAAGGCAUCAGACGAAACGGACUGAGACAAAAAGGCAUCAGACGAAACGGACUCAGACAAAAAGGCAUCAGACGAAACGGACUCAGACAAAAAAAGGCAUCAGACGAAACGGACUCAGACAAAAAAAGGCAUCAGACGAAACGGACUCAGACAAAAAGGCAUCAGACGAAACGGACUCAGGAAAAAAAAGGCAUCAGACGAAACGGACUCAGGACAAAAAGGCAUCAGACGAAACGGACUCAGACAAAAAGGCAUCAGACGAAACGGACUCAGGAAAAAAAGGCAUCAGACGAAACGGACUCAGGUGGAGUAUCGCGUUGCCCCGCCCCAGGUGACGUCACACGCACGCGGUUCAGAGGAAGUGGUAUAUAA
ensembl:lncRNA